rnacentral:rRNA from 1 species
UACAGAGGGUGCAAGCGUUAAUCGGAAUUACUGGGCGUAAAGCGUGCGUAGACGGUAGCGUAAGUCGGGUGUGAAAGCCCCGGGCUCAACCCUGGGAAUUGCAUUCGAGACUGCUCUGCUAGGGUGCGGAAGAGGGAAGCGGAAUUUCCGGUGUAGCGGUGAAAUGCGUAGAUAUCGGAAGGAACACCAGUGGCGAAAGCGGCUUCCUGGUCCAGCACCGACGUUCAGGCACGAAAGCGUCGGGGAGCAAAC